UACGUAGGGUGCAAGCGUUAAUCGGAAUUACUGGGCGUAAAGCGUGCGCAGGCGGUUGUGCAAGACAGAUGUGAAAUCCCCGGGCUCAACCUGGGAACUGCACUCGAUACUGCGUAGCUUGAGUAUCGGAGAGGUUGGUGGAAUUCUCGGUGUAGAGGUGAAAUUCGUAGAUAUCGAGAGGAACACCGGUGGCGAAGGCGGCCAACUGGACGAAUACUGACGCUGAGACACGAAAGCGUGGGGAGCAAACAGG
rnacentral:rRNA from 1 species